CUAGUAUGAUAAGGUGAUUCAGUUGAUACAAUGAUAGCAGGCAAGGCAAUUUCCUGUUAAUAUGUUAUUGUGUUGCAAUAACGUCGAAUAGUGUUAUUAUUUACACUUAUUUACUAUCAUCAUUUGUUUUAAUAAAUGUCAUACUAUCUAGAGUAUGAUACUUUAAUCACUGUAUGAAGGGUCAUAAAAUGUCGAGUCGAUUAAUUUGACAGUCACUCCUGAUAAUCGUUUCGAAAACAAAGAUCUGCUUUUACUCAUGUAGACAACGAACAAAUACAGCAGCAAAUUCUGCAGUGGGAAUCUUAAUUUUUGCAGCUUUAAAUUAAAUCAACAAAACUGGGAUACAACAAGUCACACUGAACAAGAUUAAAAUUUAUACUAAAGGUUACAGCAGACAGUCACUAUGCAAAACUUUGCUAUGCCUCUGAUUUUGACGGUUGUCAUAGCACUUAUUUUACAGACGAACUCCGAACCAAGUCAACGAUGUAUACUCGAUGGGAAAGGCUGUGUAGACACCGGACCUUUCAUUGAAGGACAGGGUAGAUGUGGACAAAUCGGACCAGACACGAGCUGUGCUAGGAUAGGAGCAACAUGUCGGUGUAAAUCGAAAUUGGUUUUAAAUAGACGAUCAAGCAUCAGGAUAAAUAACCAGCCAGUUCUUAAAUGAUUUGCCUAGAUACAAGAGAAAUAAAAACAAUGUGAACAACUAAUAGAAGAUUAAUGAAUAUACUUUUUCCGUUCAAAUUCAUCUUUUAAGUAUUCUAGCUAAAUCAAACAAAAAAGUUGAAGAAAUAAAAUUAAGCUUUGAAAUUUG